rnacentral:rRNA from 1 species
GAGACUCUGUGCGCGUGCAUAUCAAUAAGCGGAGGAAAAGAAACUAACUAGGAUUCCCUCAGUAACGGCGAGUGAAGCGGGAAGAGCUCAAAUUUGAAAUCUUCAAGGUUCUACCUUGACGAAUUGUAGUUUAUAGAAGUGUUUUCUGUUAGUAGAGUGGCAAAAGUUCUUUGGAAUAGGACAUCAUAGAGGGUGAGAAUCCCGUAUUUGGUCAUUCCUCCUAGCUUUGUGAUACACUUUCAACGAGUCGGAUUGUUUGGGAAUGCAGUCCAAAAUGGGUGGUAAAUUUCAUCUAAAGCUAAAUAUUGGCGAGAGACCGAUAGCGAACAAGUACCGUGAGGGAAAGAUGAAAAGAACUUUGAAAAGAGAGUUAAACAGUACGUGAAAUUGUCAAAAGGGAAGCGUUUGACACCAGUGUUGUUUUUCCGAAAAUCAAUUACGAAUGUUUUGUUUUUGAGAAGUUAUGACUUCAUCGGCUUGCUUCUUUCUUUACGAAACUUUCUUAAUGCACUUUUCGGUUAACAAGUCAACAUCAAUUUCUAUUGUUGUAAAAGGGUAUGAGGAAGGUGGCUUUCUUUUCGGAGAAAGUGUUUAUAGCCUUGUACCUCUGCAAUCGGAGAGAUUGAGGUCUGCAGCGUAGAUCCUUCGGGGUUAGAUACAUUUGUGCUAAGUUAUAGCUUUUCAUAGACAACUUGUUGACUAUGUUUAGUCUUGUAGCUUACUCGCUUAUGCUAUUUUACCUACGCUUAGGAUGUUGAGUCGUAGAGCACGCAG